UCAUCACGAUGGUAGUUAAUGUGAUGAUGAUGGUACAACUACCAUGUUGGUAGUUGUACCAUCAUCAUCAUCACAUUAACUACCAUCAUCA